rnacentral:rRNA from 1 species
UACGUAGGGUGCAAGCGUUGCCCGGAUUUAUUGGGCGUAAAGGGCGCGUAGGCGGUCACGCACGUCCGUUGUGAAAUCGCUCGGCUCAACUGGGCGGGGUCAGCGGAUACGGUGUGGCUGGAGCAAGCUAGGGGGCAAUGGAAUUCCCGGUGUAGUGGUGGAAUGCGUAGAUAUCGGGAGGAGCACCAGUGGCGAAGGCGGUUGCCUGGAGCUUUGCUGACGCUGAUGCGCGAAAGCGUGGGGAGCGAUCCGG